rnacentral:tRNA from 1 species
GCGGGCGUGGCGGAAUUGGCAGACGCGCAAGAUUUAGGUUCUUGUACCCUCGUGGUGUGAAGGUUCGACUCCUUUCGCCCGCA